GGGAAACCAAGCCAGUCCCCCCACCACACACACCCAUAGCCGCCUCCCUUUCUGUCUCUCUCACACUCACACACUCCAUAAUAGACCGUGCUUCCUUCAUUUCUUGUUCGAGCUCACCACUAUAGCAACCUCACCAUGGAAACACUAGUGCAUGGUUAUAAAUCUUUAUAGUAAAUGUAGUGUUCAAAAAACAAUUAUCGCGUCCACACUAGUGGUAGUUAAACAGAUAGUUGGCCUGUUUAAUAUUCCUAAGUGGCAUAGUGUAGGACGAGAUUUUACUGCAGAAAUGGUCAGAAAUUGAUGUCAUGUUUCAUAUUUUAAUUCAUAUUACCUUUUACAGAUUUCUAGCAGUUUUGUGCAUGUUGCAUAUAAAAGCAGUAGUGAAACCAAGUACAUUACUUAUUCAGUAAGUCCACCUUCAUGAUUUCUGGCUCCUAUCUUGGUCCUUUGAAGAAUUUAGGACUGAUAUUGGUACUGAGCAAAAAUACAUUUUUGGAUAGGACAGGAACUUUAUUUUCCCUGUAGAGAAACUAUUUUUUGGUGGAUAAAACAUGUUUGGUGUGACAAUACAGGCAAACACAUAAAACAUUUCGACCUUUAACAUUCCUUUAAAAAAUGUUGUCUAUGUAGUUUCCACCAGUUGUUCAGUCAGUGUCCUCCAGAUAGGCAGGUUUGAAGUUCCUCAAUGGCUGGCUUAUUCUGAUGCAUAAACAUGUUUAACAUUUAAUCUUUUUCAUAUUUCUCAGAGGAUGUACAUCUGUUAGAGAUUUUCCUGUGGACUAGCGAUGAUUGAGAUAAAUCACUUCCCAUUACAAACACACAGCAACCAGCAAACUGGCCAACCAACCUCCUUAAAUUGUACUGGACCUAUUAAGGUUAAGUGCCAUGCUAAAGGAAAGCUACUCAUAAUUAGGUAACAGUUCUGCAUCUUUAAUGACCAUGGUUACAAGGUUACUAUGUAACCUGCCAGAAGCAAAGGGCUUGUCUGGGAUUGGGAGUAGAGCCUAGUUUCACCUAAAGCAAGAAUAACUCGUCCUAUAGAAAAGAGCCAUGGCAGCUGACACAUUCAUUUGGGCUGGUGUGUGUAUCUUAACUUGAUGAAAAUAAGGAUCAGAGAAUAAGUAGCAGAAUUAGUGAUGUUUUUCACCAUAAAGGAUAGUGCUGAGUUGCAUUUAGCCACUGCUGAAAGCAUUCAAAGUUUAAGUAAAAAAGCUUUUUAUAUGGGGGUGGUAUGUGACUCAGCAGGAUAGGACACCAUAACUGUGAUUGGAAGGUCACUGGUUGAAGUCCCAGGCACGAUAUAGUGUGAUUUUGCCGUUGAACCAACAAGCAAGGCCCUUAACUGCCAGUUUCUCCAGGUACUGACACUGUCUUCUCAAUUACAUGUCGCUUUAGAUAAAAGCAUCUGGUAAAAUCAUAUAAAUGGAGCUCAAAGUCAUGCUUUUUUUACAUUUACACCUCAUAAUAAUUUGCAAUAAAUAUAUUUUGAAAAGUUAAAAAUAAAGUUGUGAAUGAUGCUAAGGCAGUGAAAGGAAUCAUUACUGUAAGAGAGAAAGCAUGCUUUUAAAGGUGAGACUACAAGAGAGAAAGCAUGCUUUUAAAGGUGAGACUACAAGAGAGAAAGCAUGCUUUUAAAGGUGAGGAGACUACAAGAGAGAAAGCAUGCUUUUAAAGGUGAGGAGACUACAAGAGAGAAAGCAUGCUUUUAAAGGUGAGGAGACUACAAGAGAGAAAGCAUGCUUUUAAAGGUGAGGAGACUACAAGAGAGAAAACAUGCUUUUAAAGGUGAGGAGACUACGAGAGAAAGCAUGCUUUUAAAGGUGAGACUACAAGAGAGAAAGCAUGCUUGUAAAGGUGAGACUACAAGAGAAAAGAAUUCGUCUUUUGCCAAGGGAGUUUAUUUUGUAUGUAUGACAUGUUACAUGCUACAGAAAAUAAAGUGAAUUUGCCUUCA